AUUAUGGGGCCGCACCGAGGUCGAUUAGUAGUCGAGAGCGAGACGACAUCCCAAUGCCAUGAAAAUGGGGGAUAGAUCGGAUGGAAAUUCAACAUCAUUUACAACUUGCAAUGGAAAUGAAAAUCAAAGUGGAGAUUGCAGUCACAUAAAUGAUGGGGAUGAAGAGGAUUAUGAGCUAGAAAUCGUAACCGCUGUCGCAGAUUUCUGUGCAAUUGACGAUAGCCAGUUGAGCUUUGAAACCGGGCAAGUGCUAUCAGUGCUGCGCAAAACCAACGUUGACUGGUGGUGGGCACGCAAGGGUAAUACCACAGGUUACAUUCCAACCAAUCACAUUGCUACAGAAUCCACGGAUCCUGCAUCGAAACCUGACUGGCAAGAUGAUGAAUACUUUGGGAGCUACAGUACUUUGAAAUUGCAACAGGAAAUGCUAAGUGACCAAGCCAGGAAUGAAGCUUAUCAAGUUGCCAUUGAAAGAAACAAGGAAGCAAUGAAAGGGAAGGUUGUUUUGGAUGUCGGCUGUGGGACAGGGUUUCUUAGCAUGCUGUGUGUUAAGCAUGGAGGAGCCAAGAGGGUUCAUUCAAUCGAAGCCAGUGAGAUGGCGGAUACUGCAGAGAAGCUGAUUAAACAUAACAACCUUUCUGAUGAGAUCACUUUAUAUCAUGGGAAGGUAGAGGAUAUAACCUUGCCAGAGAAAGUAGACCUCAUCAUUUCAGAAUGGAUGGGAACCCUUCUUAUUUUUGAGUUCAUGAUCGAGUCUGUCCUUAUUGCCCGGGACCAAUGGUUGAAGGAGGAUGGUAAGAUGUGGCCUUCCCAAGCCCAUCUCUUCCUGGCACCAGCCUCUGCACCCAAACAUAAGGAUCGCAUCCAUUUCUGGGACUCUGUUUGUGGUCUGGACUAUUCUAUCUUGAGAACAGCUGCCAUGUCAGAAUACUUCUGCAAGCCUCUGAUCAAUGAAGCACUCAAUGCAAGUGAUCUGUUAGCUGAAGGAGACGUUGUAUAUUCAUGUGAUCUCAACACGGUUACUAUAGAAGAUCUUGAGAUGAUCAAACAGGAUUUUUCAUUUACCAUCAGCAAAGCAGGAACUCUACAUGGCUUUGCUUCCUGGUUCAGUGUGGACUUUGAACCCCUUGAGAAGAGCAGUGCAAAAUGUGUGGUGCUGGACACCAGUCCACAUGUCCCACUGACCCACUGGAAGCAAGCAGCCUUAGUUCUAGAUGACUGGUAUGAUGUAGAGACUGGGGAUUCUGUCCAAGGCACUAUGAGGAUGGAAAGAAGCUUUAUGUGGAGAAGACAUUUUAGGGUCAGGUUAUCAGGGACCAUAACUUUCAAAAAUUCAAGCAACGUGAAGAAGACUUUCAAUAAGACGUUCAAGGUAUGGAGAUGACAUCCUUCAGUUAAGUCUCUUCAACCAUUUUAUAUGGACAUCAUCAACUCCAUACAGACAAUCUGUGCAUGAUUCACAUCUUAGCUCGUAAAACGGGUAUCUGGUAAUAUGUUCUGCAGCUGUACUGUGCACUAAUGUAUAUGUAUUAUCUAUUGUACUCGGUGCUGAUGUGUGUCGGAAAUUUACCAGAGCGCCCUCAAGUAAUGGGAUGGGGUGCACAGACUGGUUAAUUUUGAUGUCAUAACUCCAGUUAAACCGUGGUUUUGAUAUGAGGGUGAAAUCUGGGCAGCCAAACGUAUUAAUCUGACAUUUAAGUUGGACUUUAAAGUAUUCUCAUCCUCCUCAAACUAUCCAACUUCACUCCAAUCAGUUAUAUCUGGAGGAGAGACCUGUGGGUCACAGUGAUUUGGUUCUCUCUUUGCAUCUCAGGAGCAUAGUGCCAAAGCAGUAAUGAUAAUGAAACACUUUGGUUGGAGAUUUCAAGAUAGCUAACUUCUUGAGACCGUUUUAAUAGUCGUGGUCAAAAAAAGAGGCAGGUGUUACAUAAAAUAAUUCAGGUGACAAUCAAGAAGUUUAUCUGACAACGCUGGAGUAAUUGGUGAAUUAUUGGAUGGUCUAAUAUCACUCGGUCUACUUAUCAGGUCGUUCAUCUUCACAUAAUCUAAACCAAUUUCGUCUACAACCAGUUCGUCUAAUAUCCACUUCGUCUAAUUCCCACUUGGUCCAAUAUCCAAUUCGUCUAAUUUCCAUUUGGGCUAAUUCUCACUUGGUCUAAUAUCAAAUUUGUCUCAUUCCCACUUGGUCUAAUAUCCAAUAUGGCUAAUAAGCAGUUGGGCUAAAACCAUUUAGUCUAAUUUGCAGUUAGUCUAACACCACUUGAUCUAAUUUCCACUUCGGCUAAUCUCCACUUGGUCUAAUGUUCAUUUCGUCUAAUUGUUAUAUGGUCUAAUGACCGUUUGGUCUAAUUUUCACUUGGUCUAAUUUCCAUUUAGUCUAAUUUCCACUUGGUCUAAUAAUAUCCAAUUGGUCUAAUUUCCACUUGGUCUUAUAUCCAUAUCACUUCGUAGGCCUACCUGAAAGGGGGUAGUGCAGCUGCCGCUGCCGCACGAUCAUUCAACAACAGGUUUACAUGCUCAUCCCUGUAAAUGGAUGGCACGGUGGACAGUUCGUUAGCAGAUCUUUCAUUUAUGUAUGAUUGUGUGCGUUCCACAGUUAUAGCAUCAACAUCUGGGGGUGAGAGUGCUUCACGCUCUCCCGUGGAUUUCGGUACCCCAUUUCCUGCACCGCCAGUAAAUAAAUCCGUUUGCCCUUCUCCUCUCCGUGUAGGAGAAACCUUGAUAGGCUAUGUAAGACUUGCCUUUGGAAGUUUUAAAAACUUGGAAGUUUUAAAAACUUCCAUGUCAUCCGUAGAUGUAAUAAUAAUAAUAAUAAUAAUAUUAGGGGUGCUCAAGGCGCUUACAAUAAACUUAACUCUCUACUGGUACACUUACAAUUUGGCCAUUAAAUAAGUUUUCAAACUGGCCUUGAAAUGUUCUACUGAUCUACAGUCUUUUAGUCUAGUUGGAAGAUUGUUCCAUAGACGGGGAGCAGCUGAUGCAAAUGCCGAUCUCCCCAUGACCGUCUGGUUUUUGGAAUAGAAAGAUCAAGAUUAGAAGUCUUAGAAGAGUGAAGACCAGAGCAACCAGGCUUGCGAAAAUCAAGAAGAGAUGAGAUGUAUUCUGGUGAAGAGAAGGUCAGCGCACGAUAUGCUAUCAGAAGAAUUUUAUAGGUGAGACGAUGUUGAACAGGAAGCCAAUGAAGGGACUUAAGGACUGGUGUGAUAUGGGAAGACCUCCGCGUAUAGGUAACUAGACGUGCAGCGGCAUUCUGAACAAGUUGAAGUCUCUUUACUUGAGACAUGGGAAUGCCGUACAACAAAGAGUUACAACAAUCGAUGCGAGAAGUAACAAAUGUAUGAACAAGCUGCUCAGCAGCUUUUUUAGGGAGAUAUUUGCGAACAAUAUGGAGAUUGCGGAGACUGUAGAUCACAGGUUUAACACUCGAUGAUACUUGCGAUUCCAUUGUCAUAUUUGAGUCAAAAAUUACUCCUAGAUUUCGAACUUUAUCCACUGGAGUAAUAGAUAAGGAACCAAUAUGCAAAUUUGGAAUUGUCAGCUUGGCUAGUUGCAGCUUAGAACCCAGCAUAAGAAACUGAGUUUUGUCAUCAUUAAGCUUCAAAUAAUUCUCCAUCAUCCAGUUCCUAAUUUCACUUAAACAGGCUUCAACACGAGCAAUCCAGGCAUCAACUUCCUCUUGUGUAGGAGAGCACGAAAAAUAUAUUUGCGUGUCAUCAGCAUACAUAUGGUGAUUGAGAUUAUGCCUUUGAUGUAAGCCAAGUUCGACAAUUAGAUGAUUGAGCCUCGGUAAGACAAUUUAGUUUCACAUCACGAGUCUAACAUUAAUCUGAAACUGUACACAGGGGCGGAUCCAGGAUUUUCAAAAAGGGGGGGCACAAAAAAAAAUCUUUCUCACAGCCUACAAAAAAAAUCUUUCUCACAGCCUACAUAACGAGCGCGAAGUCCCUUAUGUGCGGGUUUUGGUUACCUUUAAUCAAGAUUCCUAGCAAAGUCAACCAAUCAAUUAAAAUUUCAUUCAAAAUAGAGCCAAUCUUUAGAUUUUACUUUUACUACUCACCAUUUUUCAUGGAAUGGCCAAUAUGUUCUCAGUGAUGAAGUGGAUUUCCCAAUAUUAAUAGUAAUAAUAGGCAUUUAUAUAGCGCCAUCUAUCUAGAAAUA